rnacentral:rRNA from 3 species
CGACUCUCGGCAACGGAUAUCUAGGCUCUCGCAUCGAUGAAGAACGUAGCAAAAUGCGAUACUUGGUGUGAAUUGCAGAAUCCCGUGAAUCAUCGAGUUUUUGAACGCAAGUUGCGCCCGAAGCCAUUAGGCCGAGGGCACGUCUGCCUGGGCGUCAC